UAAUUUCAGCCUAUAAGGCCAAUUAAAAUUAAUUGAUAGAUUUUCAUCCCCGCCCGCCCCUCUGAAAUCUUCCCGCCCCGAUUUUUUUUAUUUUUGAAAAAAUUACGAUUUCCGGAUUUUGUUCAUUUCCGUUACCGGUAACCGUCGAUAUUUCGUUUCGUGUAAAACUUCCUGUUUAAAAUUUCGGUUUUCGUAUUACUUAGAGUAUUCUAAUUGGAUGAUUAAGUCGAUAUAUUCUGCUGAUCUAUGAUCACAACAUCAUUUACCGAGAAUAAAUUAAAAGAUUGAUUAUGAGAAGGGCGUGAAAUAUUCGCUGUGUCCAAGAACGCAAAUCGCCGUACACUCAUGAUGUCACAAAUGACAAAUGUUUGCGAGUAAAACACCUUGGAUUUAUUUUAUUUAUACAAUGACUUUCAAGAAAUUUGGACUGUGAAGGAAACCCAAAAGCGUCAGAAUCGUGGAACAGAUUUGACUGGAAUAAAGAAAUUGACACAAG
rnacentral:lncRNA from 1 species